rnacentral:rRNA from 1 species
UACGUAGGGUGCGAGCGUUAAUCGGAAUACUGGGCGUAAAGGGCUCGUAGGCGGCCAACUAAGUCAGACGUGAAAUCCCUCGGCUUAACCGGGGAACUGCGUCUGAUACUGGAUGGCUUGAGGUUGGGAGAGGAUGCGGAAUUCCAGGUGUAGCGGUGAAAUGCGUAGAUAUCUGGAGGAACACCGGUGGCGAAGGCGGCAUCCUGGACCAAUUCUGACGCUGAGGAGCGAAAGCGUGGGGAGCGAACAGG